AACGUAGGUGGCGAGCGUUAUCCGGAUUUACUGGGCGUAAAGGGUGUGCAGGCGGGCUGUUAAGUGGUGUAUGAAAUAUCCCGGCUCAACCGGGAGAGGUUAUGCCAGACUGGCAGUCUAGAGAGCGAGAGAGGGACGUGGAAUUCCGGGUGUAGUGGUGAAAUGCGUAGAGAUCCGGAGGAACCCCAGAGGCGAAGGCGGCGUCCUGGCUCGCAUCUGACGCUGAGGAGCGAAAGCCAGGGGAGCAAACGGG
rnacentral:rRNA from 1 species